UAGCUCAAUGGUUAGAGCGCUCACCUGGGAUGUGAGAGACUCGGGUUCAAUUCUCCC
rnacentral:tRNA from 1 species